AGCGAACGCUGGCGGCAGGCUUAACACAUGCAAGUCGAGCGGGCAUAGCAAUAUGUCAGCGGCAGACGGGUGAGUAACGCGUGGGAACGUACCUUUUGGUUCGGAACAACACAGGGAAACUUGUGCUAAUACCGGAUAAGCCCUUACGGGGAAAGAUUUAUCGCCGAAAGAUCGGCCCGCGUCUGAUUAGCUAGUUGGUGAGGUAAUGGCUCACCAAGGCGACGAUCAGUAGCUGGUCUGAGAGGAUGAUCAGCCACAUUGGGACUGAGACACGGCCCAAACUCCUAUGGGGGGCAGCAGUGGGGAAUAUUGGACAAUGGGCGCAAGCCUGAUCCAGCCAUGCCGCGUGAGUGAUGAAGGCCCUAGGGUUGUAAAGCUCUUUUGUGCGGGAAGAUAAUGACGGUACCGCAAGAAUAAGCCCCGGCUAACUUCGUGCCAGCCGCCGCAGUAA
rnacentral:rRNA from 1 species